rnacentral:lncRNA from 13 species
UGUGUAUGCAUAUAUGUUUAUAUAAUUCUGAAAUAUUCUCUUAGCAGAUAUUUACUUAUGCUGGGGAUAUAAUCACAAAAGAAUCAGACAUUAUAGAGCUUACAUACUUAAAUGGAGAGAAAAGGAGCCUAAUAAAUGAAAAGUUAUGUAAGCUAUUAGAAGGAGCUAAGUGUUCUGGGGAAGUUAAGCAGGGAGAGGAAGAAGGAAAGGCAGAGUGAGAGAGGAUUAGUUUUGAAUAGAAUGAUUAUGAAAGGCAGCACUAAGAAGGUAACGUCUGAGCAAUGACCUGAAGGAACAAACCAUGUAAAUACCCAGGGCAAAAAUCAUUCCAGGCAGCAGGAACUACAGGCGCAAAUGUCCUGGGGCAGAAACACAUCUGGUGAGUUCAAGGACCAUUAACGAUGGUAUGCCUGGAGCAGAGAAGGCUGAGGGGAAGGAACAGGAAGAGAGAGUCAGAGGGUGUUGGGUGGCAGGAAAGGGGAGGCGUUUGAAGAGCCUUGUAUUUCACUCUGAGAGAGACGGAGCGCCGCUGGGAAAUACGAAGCAGAGAAACAACAUGAUCUGACUUCGGCUUUAAAAGGAUCACUGUGCCUGCAGGUGACCACAGACUGCAGGAAGGCAAGGCAGAGGCAGAGACCAGUGAAUUUAACCUUGUGGGCUCAGGAGACCUUAUUUUGUUCCCAUAUCAUCAUGAUGCCUAAGAACAUGUAUCUACCGAGAACCACCUAGAGGAUAAAACAGCACAGCCCACAGGCACUCCUCAGACAGUUGGAAAGUGAAGUAAAUGAACUCUGCAGUGGUGUCUUCCAGCUCUCACUUCCAACUCUCCUGUGUUUGUAGUCUCCAUGUUCCCAAACAAGGGAAAAUACAGCCACAAUCUCCAAAGGACAAAAGAAGAAAAACCAAGGCCCGCUAUUUUUUGCCACAUGCUCAUGGGACAGAGGGGGUGUUUCUUUGGGAUGAAGUCUGA